rnacentral:rRNA from 1 species
GUCCACGCAGUAAACGAUGAAUACUAGCUGUAUGCGAUAUACUGUAUGUGGCAAAGCGAAAGCGUUAAGUAUUCCACCUGGGGAGUACGUUCGCAAGAAUGAAAACUCAAAAGGAAUUGACGGGGGGCCCGCACAAGCGGAGGAACAUGUGGUUUAAUUCGAUGAUACGCGAGGAACCUUACCCGGGCUUGAAAUGCAUCUGACCGACGAGGAAACUUGUCUUCUAGCAAUAUCAGAUGUGUAGGUGCUGCAUGGUUGUCGU